GACGAACGCUGGCGGCGUGCUUAACACAUGCAAGUCGAACGGAAAGGCCCUGCUUUUGUGGGGUGCUCGAGUGGCGAACGGGUGAGUAACACGUGAGUAACCUGCCCUUGACUUUGGGAUAACUUCAGGAAACUGGGGCUAAUACCGGAUAGGAGCUCCUGCUGCAUGGUGGGGAUUGGAAAGUUUCGGCGGUUGGGGAUGGACUCGCGGCUUAUCAGCUUGUUGGUGGGGUAGUGGCUUACCAAGGCUUUGACGGGUAGCCGGCCUGAGAGGGUGACCGGCCACAUUGGGACUGAGAUACGGCCCAGACUCCUACGGGAGGCAGCAGUGGGGAAUAUUGCACAAUGGGCGGAAGCCUGAUGCAGCAACGCCGCGUGCGGGAUGACGGCCUUCGGGUUGUAAACCGCUUUCGCCUGUGACGAAGCGUGAGUGACGGUAAUGGGUAAAGAAGCACCGGCUAACUACGUGCCAGCAGCCGCGGUGAUACGUAGGGUGCGAGCGUUGUCCGGAUUUAUUGGGCGUAAAGGGCUCGUAGGUGGUUGAUCGCGUCGGAAGUGUAAUCUUGGGGCUUAACCCUGAGCGUGCUUUCGAUACGGGUUGACUUGAGGAAGGUAGGGGAGAAUGGAAUUCCUGGCGGAGCGGUGGAAUGCGCAGAUAUCAGGAGGAACACCAGUGGCGAAGGCGGUUCUCUGGGCCUUUCCUGACGCUGAGGAGCGAAAGCGUGGGGAGCGAACAGGCUUAGAUACCCUGGUAGUCCACGCUGUAAACGGUGGGUACUAGGUGUGGGGUCCAUUCCACGGGUUCCGUGCCGUAGCUAACGCUUUAAGUACCCCGCCUGGGGAGUACGGCCGCAAGGCUAAAACUCAAAGGAAUUGACGGGGCCCCGCACAAGCGGCGGAGCAUGCGGAUUAAUUCGAUGCAACGCGUAGAACCUUACCUGGGUUUGACAUGGAUCGGGAGUGCUCAGAGAUGGGUGUGCCUCUUUUGGGGUCGGUUCACAGGUGGUGCAUGGCUGUCGUCAGCUCGUGUCGUGAGAUGUUGGGUUAAGUCCCGCAACGAGCGCAACCCUUGUUCACUGUUGCCAGCACGUUAUGGUGGGGACUCAGUGGAGACCGCCGGGGUCAACUCGGAGGAAGGUGGGGAUGACGUCAAGUCAUCAUGCCCCUUAUGUCCAGGGCUUCACGCAUGCUACAAUGGCUGGUACAGAGAGUGGCGAGCCUGUGAGGGUGAGCGAAUCUCGGAAAGCCGGUCUCAGUUCGGAUUGGGGUCUGCAACUCGACCUCAUGAAGUCGGAGUCGCUAGUAAUCGCAGAUCAGCAACGCUGCGGUGAAUACGUUCCCGGGGCU
rnacentral:rRNA from 1 species